rnacentral:rRNA from 1 species
UUGUUUUCCCAGUGGGGGACUGCUGCUGGAUCAUUACUCACUGUGAU